GUGGGGAAUAUUGGACAAUGGGGGAAACCCUGAUCCAGCGACGCCGCGUGGGUGAAGAAGGCCUGCGGGUUGUAAAGCCCUUUCGGUAGGGACGAAAGCUCUCGACCUAACACGUCGGGAGGUUGACUUAACCUACAAAAGAAGCACCGGCUAACUCUGUGCCAGCAGCCGCGGUAAUACAGAGGGUGCGAGCGUUAAUCGGAAUUACUGGGCGUAAAGCGCACGUAGGCGGCUUGGUAUGUCGGGUGUGAAAUCCCCGGGCUCAACCUGGGAACUGCAUCCGAAACUGCCUUGCUCGAGUAUGGGAGAGGGAAGUGGAAUUUCCGGUGUAGCGGUGAAAUGCGUAGAUAUCGGAAGGAACAUCAGUGGCGAAGGCGACUUCCUGGACCAAUACUGACGCUCAGGUGCGAAAGCGUGGGGAGCAAACAGGAUUAGAUACCCGGGUAGUCC
rnacentral:rRNA from 1 species